UAUAUAUAUAUAAACCGGUGGAAAUAUAUUUCUUAAGUUUGUUUACUAUAAAAUGAAACUUUAAAAGUUAACUAAUAAAGUUAACUAAUAAUUUUUCAAACAAAAAAAGUUAACUAUAUUAAUAUUAAUUAGUGCUGGAACGGGUUAUUAAUGAGAUUUAAUUUUUAUAAGUGGACUUUUAAUUGAAAUAAAUAUUCAUAUAAACUCAUUUAGUUUAACGGGAUUUCAAUAGGUUAUUCAGUUGAAAAAUAUUUAUUAAAUGUGAUUUAACUUAAAGUUAGUGAAGACCAUAUUAACUCAUUUACAUUUGUAUAUAUAACAGAAAAUAUUAAAAAUUAUUUUUUUCAAACAUUUUUCAAAACAUUUUUCGGUUCUCGAUGCGGGUUGGUUUUUAUAUUGGUAUUCGUAUAUAACACUAUAAGAACCGUUCGAGUAUAUAGGCCAAGUCUAAAAGAGUAUGAGAUUUUCGAUUUUUGGGUCGAUUUAGAGUCGAUUUCUUAUGUAAAAUAUUCUUAACUUGUUAUGUUAGGUAACUAAUAAGAAAAUAUAAUAUGUUGCAAACUUUAGUAAUAAAGUUUAAAAAUAAUGUCUAAAAUGCAUAUCGCAGAAGUGUAUAGUUAUGCAUUUUGAUAUAUUUAAUAUAUUUUACCAAAAAUAUAUUAAAAUAAAUUAGUAUUAAUUAUAAUAUGAUUACAAAAAAAAAAAAAAAUUCUCAAAAAGAAAUUAGAACAAAAAUAUUAACUCAUUUACAUAUUAAUUUAUUAACAAAAAAAUAUAACAUAAAAUAUUAAAAAUUAUUUUUUCAAACAUCUUUCAAAAAAUAUGUUCGGUUCUCGAUGCGGGUUGGUUUUGAUAUUGGUAUUCGUAUAUAACACUAUAAGAACCGUUCGAGUAUAUAGGCCAAGUCUAACAGAGUAUGAGAUUUUUUUAUUUUCGGGUCGAUUCAGAGUCGAUUUUUAGAUAUAAAUACUCUUGACUAAUUAUGUUAGGUAACUAAUAAAAAAUAUAAUAUGUUGCAAACUUUAGUAAUAAAGUUUAAAAAUAAUUUUUAAAAUGCAUAUGGCUCAAGUGUAUAGUUAUGCAUUUUGACAUAUUUAAUAUAUUUUACCAAAAAAUAUAUUAAAAUAAAUUAAUAUUAAAUAUAAUAUGAUUAAAAAAUAAAAUAGAAAAAUUAAAUUUCUCAAAAAAAAAUUAAAACAGAAAAUAUACCCGCCCUUUAAAGGGUGGAUCAGAAUCUAGUUAACACUACUAUAUAAAAGAGACUAUUUUAAGAGCUUCUAAAGGGUGUCACAUAAGCAAAAAUAUUCUCCACCAAUCAUUUUGCCAUGUCAUCACGAAAUGGACCUCAAACACAAGAUAUCCAGCCCAUAAGUAAAGGUUUGUUGGCUUUAGUGGCCCAAACGUAAUUCUAAGACGUUUCCACCGUAACAAAAAGAAAUGAAUCUGGUACUGCUUAAAAUAUUCAACCAAUCAUAUCAAACUACAUUAUUAAAAACCUAUAUCCCUUGACUGAAAUUUUUGGAUUUCUCGAUCUCUUCAUGACAACCGAAAAAAAAAAACAGCCGACGUUUAAUAUUACUCAUCAGCGAUGAUUUUAAUGAUGAUCCUCUUUUAAAAAACUCACAAAACCAUUUCUUUCACAAUCUAAUCAACAAACUAAAACCUCUCCCAAAAACAGCUGAAAUCCAAUCAUAGCUUCAAAAGAUCUACAUGUGCUACUUAUUUCUUUUGGGGAUAUUUUAGUCUUCCAGAUUCUGUUUCAGCAAGUUUAAUAUUAUAUGAUGUUGAUUCUGUCUUUCUCGCUUUGGAAUUUAAGUUUCAGUACAUGUUUCCUUAUAAAGAUGUACAUGAUUUUUUUGUUCUGUACUUUGAUGUGUCCAGGGUUACAUUUGGACCAUACGAAGAAAAAAGUAACUAGUAGGUGACCUCUCUGCUGUUUUAUUCUUUUAUCAUCACGAGUUUUGUUUUCAGCUGGCUUUGAUUUUUUUUAUCUCAGAUUACGAGUUUUGUCUGUAUUGAAUCGGGGGUUUUAAAUUGUAUUAUGGUUUGAGAGGGAUGCUUAGAUUGCUGAACCCCAUGUAGUUAAAUAGUGAGAUCAAAACUUAAUUCAUGUUCAGUCCCAAGCAGAGUUACAAAACUGCAUGGUAAGAAAAUACUUACUGAUGAGUUGAAUCAAGUGGGUGAUAGCUGAAGAUUCAUAACAAAAAAAAAAGCAACCGUCUGUGGAUAAGGCACUCAUACCAUAGAAGCUAUAGAAAAACUCUCAGCAAUGAACAAGCCCUCAAUUGGAGAUAAUUCACAAUUGCGACGGUGUCAUGUGAUGGACCUCUAAUAAGUAAAUUCACAUGCCCCUUUGUCAGUCUCCAAAAGACACAUAGGCAUCGGAAGAAAUGGGCUCUAAAUGUUUACUUCAACAACCUUACCGAAGUCAACCUUGAUUUGGAGCUGACAAGAAGGUGGAGAAUAACUUCCAGUAGCUGUGGCCGUGAAGUCGCAUUACUUGGUUGUUACAAUGCGAGUUGCAAGAAUACAUAUGCAAAACUGAUGCCAGGAUGUAGAUGGGACAAUAUGCAUCCUAUAAGUUUCCCUGUGAAGAGACUAAUCCAAAAGAAGAAAAAUGCAAGCGUAUUCCCACUAAAUGGUAAUGUCAUUUUCAUUUGUUGGUAGGAGUUAUGAGGAGAUUUUUAUUUUUUAAAAUACAGUACUUACAGUAACUUUAUCUAUCUAUGUAUCUUCUCUGGGCCACUAACUGGCAAGCGUAUUCCCACUAAAUGGCAAGCGUAUUCCCACUUAACACUCUCCGCCUAAUGAAGUAUUCUAACAUCAUUGAGCUCAAGAGCAAGCAUUUUUCACGGAUUACCCAUGAAAUUGGUUCUAUGUUGUUCAGGACUUACCGAUGAAUGAGUAUGUAUACUUCUUUUUACCCUUUUGUUUCAUAAAAACCUUGACUCUGAAAAACAAAUUACAUGAAUGGAUGGCUUUGGAUUA